GGUGGCUCCCGAGGCCGCAGCCUUCGGGUGGUUCUGAAGGGUCAAGCAAGGGGCAGGUGGAGAUGUCCCCAGAGCCCAGCAGUUCAUCUCACAUUCAGCCCGACUCUGAAUCCAGCUCUGCCCUUUCCCCACCUCCGCGAAACAGUCGAGGGCCUGGCAGAACGGUGACCGCGCUCCCGAGCGAGCGCUGGGACUGACCUGCCCAUCAAGGUGGGAAUUGAUACAGGUGGGACAAGAACUAGCCAGCAAUAAAGAGACGGAACGAGGGUCAGACCAGAGACAAAGCAGGCUUCAGCCGGGUGAUGUAAACACGCCCCCGACCUCAAGCCUCGGAGCUUCCUGCCGUGAGCCAGGGCAGAGUUCUCACAGGGCCCGCGGCCCUCCACUUCCUGAGGCGGAGGCACACAGAGCGGCAGGGCCUCCUUCAGAGCCCAGGCUGCUCUGCCAUCGUCCUCUGCCCCGCAUCUCCUGGGAGAAAGGACAAGAUGAAGUGGGAGGCGCUAGCCAUCGCGGCCAUCCUGCAGGUGUGGUGCCCAGUUACAGGUAAGGUGCUGCCCGGCGGCACGAGCUCAGACCGUGUGCUGGGGUCCUCGAGGGCGUGAGGGCCUGGUGUCUGCCCCCUCCUGCUCUCCCAGAGUCAAGGGCAGGGAAGCCCUGGCUCCACACUGCAGCCCAGGGUCAAACUGCCCAGAGCAUGGGUUGCCUGGUGAUCAGAAGAGACAGGAGGGGGGCGAGGGAGGAGGCCCGAGAGCCUCAGGCCGGCCAGCUGGGACAGAGGGAGUGUGGAGCAGAGGCCAGCCCGCGUCAGCGAGGCCGCCUCACACGGCGACGUUCCGGCCACCGUCCCCUCCCGUCAUCCUGAGCAGGCACCCUCACUCUGCCAACAGAGGACAUGUCACCAGCCAGUCAGGCAGGGUCACAGCCAGGGGCACCGGUCACUGGCCUGAAACUCCUGGCCAGGACUGAGAGGCCCAGGAGGGGGAAGCGGCAGGUGUGGGAAGUAGGAGCUGCAGCCCCACAGAGCGCCUGCCACCUCUGGACCCAGAGGGUCCUGUCACGCUCACGGCCAGGGCCGCACUAGGACACUCCCUUCCCCGGCCAGAGACAGAAGCAGGGAACCACGAGAGACGGGCCUUGUCGAGGGGCCACCGGGAGGACUUGGGCUCUGGGAGGCCGGCUGUCCCGUGUUCCCCAGCGCAGACCCUGGAGGGGAAGGAGGCCGCGGCCUGCCCAGAGGGCGUCAGGCUGCUUCUGCCAACAGGGCGAGCUUCACUUGUGUGGGUCUGGGGAGCAGGGAAGGGAGUUAGGACCGUCCUUCUGCAGUGGGGCUGCCUCCACGAGGGAGGUGCCGGGAGGGCAGGCGAGGCCCCCAGCAUGGCCUGGCCCUGGGCUAGCACCUUG
rnacentral:lncRNA from 1 species